AAGGGGGGGGCUCGCGGCAGCAGGUGAGAGCGCAGCGCAGCGCAGAGCGGCCGGAGUAGCCGAGCGGAAAGCAGGCGCCAUGGGAAAGCUGCAAGAAUUUGAUAUCACUUUUACCAACAACAAAGUGGUUUACGGUCCGGGAGAGUCCAUUAGCGGUACUGUGAAAAUACGAACCGCCAACUCGCUGCAGUACAAAGCGAUCAAGGUGAACUGUCAGGGCUCAUGUGGGAUCUCCAACAAAAUGAAAGACGCCUCGUGGGCUCUGGAGGAGCAGUACUUCAACAGCACGCUGUCUGUUGCUGACAAAGGAACCCUGGGUGCGGGCGAACACAGUUUCCCCUUCCAGUUUCUUAUUCCAGUCACUCCCCCGACUUCCUUUGAGGGACCCUUUGGGAAGAUUAGUUACCGUGUGAGGGUGGCCAUUGACACGCCUCGCUUCUCUAAGGACUACAAAGCCCAGAGGGCCUUCUACAUACUCAACCUGCUCAACCUCAAUGAGGUGCCUGAAAUUGAACUUCCGAGUUACGCUGUCACUACUAAGAAGUUCAGCUACCUCCUGGUGAAGACGGGGACCCUGAUGCUGAAGGCUCACAGUGACCUGAGGGGUUACAUUCCGGGCCAGGUCAUCAAGUUAGCCACUGAGAUCCACAACAAGUCUGGGAAGGACACAGGAUGUGUGCUGGCCAGUCUCAUACAGAAAGUGACCUAUAAGACCAAGCGGCCUGUGUUCGACCUGCGGACCAUCGCAGAGGUGGAGGGAGCCGGAGUAAAGGCGGGAAAACAUGCCGAGUGGAGAGAGCAGAUCAUCGUCCCUCCUCUUCCUCAGUCUGCGCUGGCUGGCUGCAGCCUCAUAGACAUCGACUACUUUAUUCAGGUGUCCCUGAAAUCUCCCGACGCGGUCGUCACUUUGCCCAUCUACAUUGGGAACAUCGCUGUGAACUUGUCUCCGUCGAGGGCCAUGCCCUCCACUCCAGAGCACGCCAUUGCACCCACAGCGGCAGGCGUGACGCCCAGUGCCCCGCCGGCGGAGGAGGAGCCAGAGGAGGGGCUGUGUGCCGGGGGCGUGGCCAGUGAGGAGAUUCCAACCAAGAGUCACUCUCAGCAGGAUCCCUCGUGUCAGCCUGUCACCAUGUCCCCCAGCGCGUUCAGCCACGCGCCCGGCGCAGCCCUUCCUCCCAGCCACAGGCGGCCCGACGCUUCCGCUCCCCUGUUCUGCGUGUCCACCGGGGCCACCAUACCUUUCUUCACCGAGGGAGGAAACGCGACCCCUAUCCCCACUUCCUGUUCUCUCAUCCUCCCUCCAGAGUACAGCAGCUGGGACUACCCUCAUGAGCCCCCACCCAGUUACGAGGAAAGCUGCAGUAGCGCCGACUCCAGUUUCAACAGCAGACAGUAGAGAAGAAACAGGUGAUGAUGAAACAUCAUGGCCACGCCCACCCACACCUGUUUGCAUUUGCCUCUCGACAAAUCAGGACAGCGACAUGCCGGGUUAAAGAGGAUGGACGGAGCUUGUGAUGGACCUUCUUCUUCUCUGUCAGGGAGGACAUCAGGACCUACUCUCUUCCUAUUUUGUGGACUGUGCUAAGUGUACUUGAUGUAUACAAAUGUAGCUUUUUAAAAACGACAAGGACACUGGACCUGUUGAACUUGUUUUUAUCUUUUUUUUUUUUUUUAGAAAAUAUGUACAAUUUGUUUUAUCUCCAAGAAUGCAGCAGCAGCAGCAGCAACAACUCCCUGAAGUCAUUUCACACUGCCUUUAUCGAUCCUGAUUCUGUUUAAUUCUUUGCCACCAAAAGGUACUAUAGCUUUAUGAAGCCCCACUUGUUCUGUGUUGUUGGUUUUUUUUCACUUUCCCCCCUCACAUAUUGAUGAGUGGUGUCUGGUUUUGUAUUUUUCUACGUAAACUGUUUACAGGUGCAGUAUGCAGAUACUAAUAGUAGCACCUCAAUCAGUCAAUGUAAUAUUUCAACAUACAGUGCGAAUCUAAGUUGUACAGUACAGAAUAACAAUAAAAAAAAUAUAUGACAUG